rnacentral:rRNA from 1 species
AGCGAACGCUGGCGGCAGGCUUAACACAUGCAAGUCGAGCGGGCAUCCUUGUGGUGUCAGCGGCAGACGGGUGAGUAACGCGUGGGAACGUGCCCUUCGGUUCGGAAUAACUCAGGGAAACUUGAGCUAAUACCGGAUACGUGCGAGAGCAGAAAGGUUUAUCUGCCGAAGGAUCGGCCCGCGUCUGAUUAGCUAGUUGGUGAGGUUAUGGCUCACCAAGGCGACGAUCAGUAGCUGGUCUGAGAGGAUGACCAGCCACACUGGGACUGGGACACGGCCCAGACUCCAGGGGGAGGCAGAGGUGGGGAAAAUUGGACAGUGGGGCAACCCUGAUCCAGCCAUGCCGCGUGAGUGAUGACGGCCUUAGGGUUGUAAAGCUCUUUUCUCCGGGACGAUAAUGACGGUACCGGAGGAAUAAGCCCCGGCUAACUUCGUG